GCCUGGGUGGCUCAGUCAAUUGAGCAUCUGACUUGGACUUGGGUUGUGAGUUCGAUCCCCAUUUCAGGCU
rnacentral:tRNA from 1 species